rfam:TPA: Bos taurus chromosome X, whole genome shotgun sequence.
CUGUCUCUUGCUUCCACAGUGUUUGAAUGGAAUAG